GAUGAAGAACGCAGCGAAAUGCGAUAAGUAAUGUGAAUUGCAGAAUUCAGUGAAUCAUCGAAUCUUUGAACGCACAUUGCGCCCGCCAGUAUUCUGGCGGGCAUGCCUGUUCGAGCGUCAUUUCAACCAUCAAGCCCCCGGCUUGUGUUGGGGACCUGCGGCUGCCGCAGGCCCUGAAAAGCAGUGGCGGGCUCGCUGUCACACCGAGCGUAGUAGAUCUCAUCUCGCUCAGGGCGUGCUGCGGGUUCCGGCCGUUAAACCACCUUCAUAACCCAAGGUUGACCUCGGAUCAGGUAGGAAGACCCGCUGAACUUAAGCAUAUCAAUAAGCGGAGGA
rnacentral:misc_RNA from 1 species